UACGUAGGGUGCGAGCGUUGUCCGGAAUUAUUGGGCGUAAAGAGCUCGUAGGCGGCUUGUCGCGUCGGAUGUGAAAGCCCGGGGCUUAACCCCGGGUCUGCAUUCGAUACGGGCAGGCUAGAGUUCGGUAGGGGAGAUCGGAAUUCCUGGUGUAGCGGUGAAAUGCGCAGAGUAUCAGGAGGAACACCGGUGGCGAAGGCGGAUCUCUGGGCCGAUACUGACGCUGAGGAGCGAAAGCGUGGGGAGCGAACAGG
rnacentral:rRNA from 1 species